UGCUGGCCAUCUCCUUCAAAUGCUGUAAGUGAUCUUUCUUCUUUCAAUUUUCUUCAUCAUGUUUGGCAUAUCCAGCCUCUCAUAUUUCCCAGAUAUAUCACAUUUGACAAAUACUAAAUUCUAAUGAAUUUGGAUAGAUUGAUUUGCCACUUCAUUGUUUUUGUCAUGUUGUUACUUGGACUUCUUGUUUGUGAUAUCUAUGUGGGCCCAUAUCGUCUAUUAUGUGUAUUAUUUGUAUUAGAAUAGGUGUUGUUUGUUGAAGAAAACCUUACUGCCUUAGGUUUUGUGACUGCUGCAUGACCACUGCUUUUCAAAAUGCUUUAAAUGUUCCCUUCACAAAGACCAAGUUUGAAAAUGAUCUUUACCUUCCUAUAAUGUUUCUUCAGUAAGGACAGUAUUUUUCCCUUCCUUCUCAGUAAUUAAAACAUAAUUUUAACUAGGAUCAAGGUAAUUAGUAGUUCAGGAUGUAUCAUUACCCUAAAGGUGGACCUAAACACACAAAGUCAACAAGGUUCUUCUUCCUUGUAUAUUACUAUGCAAGUGAAACACAAUAUAAAAUAGUUUAGGGUAACUGCAAAGAUGGGACAGGAUGGUGACAUAGCAAUGGUUCCUGCAGGACAAAAUGAGUUAAGACCAAAUCAGCAUGUAGCCACGACUGCUACUACACAAGGGAGCAGAAUAAAGGAGACAUUUUCUACAGCUAUCUUAAUGAAUGCUAAUUUCUUCUUAAUUGCAGCAGCUGCUAAAAGGAAUUAAUAUCUUCUUUCUUGAAAUUCUUCUUUCUAUAUUCUUUUCUCUCUAUAUUUUCUUCCAGUUCUUCCUUUCUCUAACUUCUUUCUCUGAU
rnacentral:misc_RNA from 1 species